UUCUCCCAUUGCAAGAAAAAUCAAUCUAGUUGGCCAAACCAAACCGAUAGUUCAAAGAGAAUUACAAAGAUAGCAAAUCAUGCAUAUACGAAUUCAAAGGAGAUUCAAAUAAUAUUCCUAGAUAAGCUGAUCAUAAAUCCACAAUUCAUCAGAUCUCGGCAAACACACCGCAAAAAAAAGUAUUCCAUCAAAUAGAUCUCCUAGAACAUCGAGGAGAACAUGGUAUUGAGAAUCAAAGAAAGAGAAGAAGCCAUCUGGUUAUUAGCUAUGGACCCAUAAGUCUGUAGUAAACUACUCAUGCUUCAUCGGAAGGGCAAUAGGGUUGAUGUAGAAGCCCUCCAUGAUCGAAUCCCCCUCCGACAGGACGUCAGAAAAGGCCCCUAGAUGGGAUCUCACGGGUACAGAAGGUUGCGGUGGUGGAAAAGCGUUUUCGUGGCUCUCCUGGUUGGUUUUGGGAUAUAUGAAAAUAUAUAGGCGAAAGAAAUAGGUCGGUGGAGUCACGAGGGGCCCACAAGGGUGGGGGGCGUGCCCUACCCCUUGGGCGCGCCUUCCGUCCUUGUGGCCGCCUUGUGGCUUCCCUGACUUGCACUCCAAGUCCCGUGGUCCAAGAAAAAUCAUCAUGAAAGUUUUAUUCUGUUUGGACUCCGUUUGGUAUUCCUUUUCUGUGAAACUCAAAAACAAGGAAAAAACAGGAACUUGCACUGGGCGCUAGGUUAAUAGGUUAGUCCCAAAAAUAAUAUAAAAUAGCAUAUUAGUGCAUGUAAAACAUCCAAAACAAAUAAUAUAAUAGCAUGGAACAAUAAAAAGUUAUAGAUAUGUUGGAGACGUAUCAAGCAUCACCAAGCUUAAUUCCUGCUCGUCCUCGAGUAGGUAAAUGAUAAAAAAUAGAAUUUUUGAUGUGGAAUGCUACCCAACAUAUUUAUCCAUGUAAUUUCUUUAUUGUAGCAUGAAUGUUCAGAUCCGUAUGAUUCAAAACAAAAGUUUAAUAUUGAUAUAAAAACAAUAAUAUUUCAAGCAUACUAACAAGGCAAUUAUGUCUUCUCAAAUAACAUGGCCAAAGAAAGCUUAUCCCUAUAAAAUCAUAUAGUCUGGCUAUGCUCCAUCUUCAUCACACAAAAUAUUUAAAUCAUGCACAACCCCGAUGACAAGCCAAGCAAUUGUUUCAUACUUUUGAUGUCCUCAAACUUUUUGAACUUUAACGCAAUACAUGAGCGUGAGCCAUGGACAUAGCACUGUAGGUGGAAUAGACGGUGGUUGUGGAGAAGACAAAAAAAGGAGAUAGUCUCACAUCAACUAGGCGUAUCAAUGGGCUAUGGAGAUGCCCAUCAAUAGAUAUCAAUGUGAGUGAGUAGGGAUUGCCAUGCAACAGAUGCACUAGAGCUGUAAGUGUAUGAAAGAUCAACAAAAGAAAACUAAGUGGGUGUGCAUCCAACUCGCCUGCUCACGAAGACCUAGUGCAUUUUGAGGAAGCCCAUCAUUGGAAUAUACAAGCCAAGUUCUAUAAUGAAAAAUUUCCACUAGUAUAUGAAAGUGACAAUAUAGGAGACUCUCUAUCAUGAAGAUCAUGGUGUUACUUUAAAGCACAAGUGUGGUAAAAGGAUAAUAGCAUUGCCCCUUCUCACUUUUCUCUCAUUUUUUGGCCUCUUUUUUUCGUCCGGAGUCUCAUCCCGACUUGUGGGGAAAUCAUAGUCUCCAUUAUCCUUUCCUCAUACUAGAUGACCAGUUGAGCCAAUGCCGCAAAGGCCAAGAGCAAGCCAUGUAUUGAAAGAGUUUACAUUAAUAUUAUUCGGGCACAUAUUGAAGUGAUAAACAUUAGACAGAGUCAUCGCUGCAUGUUUGACCAUGGCGCAAAAAGCGAGAGCAAGCCAGGCAUUCAAAGCAUGUGCAUGAGAUUGAUUUAGAAUCAACUUAAAGAUACUUAUAUUCCAUUACAUGAAAGUUUGAUGCUUAAAAGAAAAUAUUCAGAUCACUUGGUAAUAGAAUACAUUGGCUUUUAAAAGACAGGCUAUAUUAGCAUAGAUGGAUAGUGUAUAUAGUGCUUGCCCGUUAACCAUUGCUUGAGUCUUGUACCUACCGUUGGCAGGAAGGAAAGAACCUACGACCUAGGUGGACGAACAACCUAGCCGCACACUGCAAACAGGAUCAAAGGCCUAUAGAGGAACAAAAAGAAUCAAGCGACUGUGUAUAAAACAAUAAGCACGUGGUACACUUUAUUAAUUAUUUUUCUAGCUGUUUCUCCUUUAUCACCAAGCAGCACGUAUUAGUUGGGUAAGCAAUAACCAGGUGGUACACUUGAUAUUGGAACCCCCAUACAUUUAUUAUAUGUAUUCAUUCAAAGAACUAACCCGAGCAGGCAUUGCACGACUAUUAAGAAUCGGUAUGUAACUAAGAAAAGUGGGCAUCCUCUAUAAACAUGGAUAUUGACCAAUGGCAUAUGAGCACACAAUCACCCAGGAAGAAAACCACCAGGAGAAGCAUAAGGUAAAACAGAAAUUUAUGAUACACGGUCUGUAGAUAACAAUAUAUAUAGCUUCGAGUGCACUAUAUACCUGCAGACAUGACCAUGAGGACAGAUUCAAAGCCAAAUGGCAUGGAAAGGAGUCAAAUAUAUACCAUAGAAAAAACAAAACUGGGAAUGUCAAAAAGACGUAAAUAGAGUAUACAGAUACAACGGCACAGUAAGAUAAAUAACAAUGAUGUAAUAGUGGCUAUGAUUUCUUUCUGGUAAAACCAUCACAGAGAAAUAAAAUUCACAUGAAAAUAUUUGCUUCCUACAGGCUUACAAUGAUAGGUGUAACUACUUAAACUCACAAUUGGAUAAGAAGAAUGUAUGAUAAAGGCUGGAAGAUAUAAAAGGGCAACAAAUUUAAACAGAGCCUUUGUUUCCAUCAUUUUUUCACCUAGAGAAGUGAUGCAUUGCUACAUAAGAACGAAAAGCACAAUCUGAGAGGAAUCACAAAGCCAACCAGUACAUACAUCAUUUUAGAAGGACAUGAACAUAUUUUUCUUCAUUAGGACUUUUACAAUUUAUUAUUAGGAGGAAUUUGUUUCACGAGAUCCAUUUGGCAAGCACAAGUUGAUCAUAAUGCAACAGAGAACAUUCACCAUGUAAAAUCAAGAUUACCUGAGACUAUUGUGGACCAGCCAAACCAUUCAGUGCCUCUGCAAAAGAAAGGUAAGGAUUUGACAGAGCAGUUCCAACCUGUGAUCAAAUAAAUACCAUUAGUGCUAGAUAAACAGGUUAGUGCAUGUAGGGGAUAUCAACAGGAAACAAGUAAACAACCAAAGCAGACUAAGCUAGUAGGAUCACAAGCAACACACAAAUAAUUGAAGGCCAACCAGACAAAGCUGCUCCACUUCAAAAAGGCUACAACUUGCACCGCUACAAAUUAGGAGGCUUCAUAUGCUAUUCACCAUUACAACGAUGAUGCGUUGCACGGGCACCAGUGCCUUCACUGGCUCAGAUCUGGCACGUGCUUUACGUAGGCGAGGAGUGGUAGCGGUCCUGCUCCAUCAAUCAUCAGUGUCCCAUGAGUAAAACUGAAAGAAACAAAUGGCACAAACAGUGUUAUCACCUUGUGUCUCUAGCUCUUGUUCACCGACCCAAAGACCAGUUGCAUGAAAACAACAUAUACUGGCGCAACUGCAGCAAUACACUGAUCCAAAAAGGACAACCACAAUCUAUAAGCUACGGAGUUCACCAUCCAACCUAAACCUCAAAGGAGAAUUUCACUUCUAAUCUGGCCUAGCAACACAAUCAGUGGCCUCCCGUAUCCGACGGUGACAACAUGCAAGG
rnacentral:lncRNA from 1 species